UACGGGAGGCAGCAGUAGGGAAUCUUCCGCAAUGGACGAAAGUCUGACGGAGCAACGCCGCGUGAACGAUGAAGGCUUUCGGGUCGUAAAGUUCUGUUGUUAGGGAAGAACAAGUACCGGAGUAACUGCCGGUACCUUGACGGUACCUAACCAGAAAGCCACGGCUAACUACGUGCCAGCAGCCGCGGUAAUACGUAGGUGGCAAGCGUUGUCCGGAAUUAUUGGGCGUAAAGCGCGCGCAGACGGUCCUUUAAGUCUGAUGUGAAAGCCCACGGCUCAACCGUGAGGGUCAUUGGAAACUGGGGACUUGAGUGCAGAAGAGGAGAGUGGAAUUCCACGUGUAGCGGUGAAAUGCGUAGAGAUGUGGAGGAACACCAGUGGCGAAGGCGACUCUCUGGUCUGUAACUGACGCUGAGGCGCGAAAGCGUGGGGAGCGAACAGGGAUUAGAUACC
rnacentral:rRNA from 1 species